rfam:Pteropus alecto contig87959, whole genome shotgun sequence.
GGAGCGGCCUGGUCUGCAGGGAGCAGCGAGGGGCCGCGAGCGAGGAUGGACCCCGCUACCCCCCAGAAGCCCCUCAGUGGAUUUCCACGCGGAAAGGAUGUUGGCGGCCCCGGUGACACGGCUUGGAUCCACCUUCCA